rnacentral:rRNA from 1 species
GGAAUUUUCCGCAAUGGGCGAAAGCCUGGCGGAGCGACGCCGCGUGAUUGAUGAAGCACUUCGGUGUGUAAAGGUCUUUUAUGAGGGAGGAAGUUUAUUGACGUUACCUCAUGAAUAAGGGGCUGCUAAACUCGUGCCAGCAGCAGCGGUAAUACGAGUGCCCCGAGCGUUAUCCGGAAUUACUGGGCGUAAAGGGUCCGUAGGCGGUCGUGUUAGUCUUCUGUUAAAGCUCCUGGCUCAACCGGGAAAACGCAGAGGAAACGGCACGACUAGAGGACGUAAGAGGUCUACAGAACUCACGGUGUAGGGGUGAAAUCCGUUGAUAUCGUGGGGAAUGCCAAAGGCGAAGGCAGUAGACUGGUGCGUUCCUGACGCUGAGGGACGAAAGCCAGGGGAGCAAACAGGAUUAGAUACCCCUGUAGUC